AAUGGCUCAUUAAAUCAGUUAUCGUUUAUUUGAUAGUACCUACCAACUACUUGGAUAACCGUGGUAAUUCUAGAGCUAAUACAUGCUAAAAACCCCGACUUCGGGAGGGGUGUAUUUAUUAGAUAAAAAACCAAUGCCCCUCGGGGCUCCUUGGUGAUUCAUGAUAACUUAACGGAUCGCAUGGCCUUGCGCCGGCGACGGUUCAUUCAAAUUUCUGCCCUAUCAACUUUCGAUGGUAAGGUAUUGGCUUACCAUGGUUUCAACGGGUAACGGGGAAUUAGGGUUCGAUUCCGGAGAGGGAGCCUGAGAAACGGCUACCACAUCCAAGGAAGGCAGCAGGCGCGCAAAUUACCCAAUCCCGACGCGGGGAGGUAGUGACAAUAAAUACUGAUACAGGGCUCUUUUGGGUCUUGUAAUCGGAAUGAGUACAAUUUAAACCCCUUAACGAGGAACAAUUGGAGGGCAAGUCUGGUGCCAGCAGCCGCGGUAAUUCCAGCUCCAAUAGCGUAUAUUAAAGUUGUUGCAGUUAAAAAGCUCGUAGUUGAACCUUGGGCCUGGCUGGCCGGUCCGCCUCACCGCGUGUACUGGUCCGGCCGGGCCUUUCCUUCUGGAGAGCCGCAUGCCCUUCACUGGGUGUGCCGGGGAACCAGGACUUUUACUUUGAAAAAAUUAGAGUGUUCAAAGCAGGCCUUUGCUCGAAUACGUUAGCAUGGAAUAAUAGAAUAGGACGUGCGGUCCUAUUUUGUUGGUUUCUAGGACCGCCGUAAUGAUUAAUAGGGAUAGUCGGGGGCAUCAGUAUUCAAUUGUCAGAGGUGAAAUUCUUGGAUUUAUUGAAGACUAACUACUGCGAAAGCAUUUGCCAAGGAUGUUUUCAUUAAUCAGUGAACGAAAGUUAGGGGAUCGAAGACGAUCAGAUACCGUCGUAGUCUUAACCGUAAACUAUGCCGACUAGGGAUCGGGCGAUGUUUCUAUCUUGACUCGCUCGGCACCU
rnacentral:rRNA from 1 species